rnacentral:rRNA from 1 species
GUGCCAGCAGCCGCGGUAAUACAGAGGUGGCAAGCGUUGUUCGGAAUUACUGGGCGUAAAGGGCGCGUAGGCGGCUCGACAAGUCCCGCGUGAAAGCCCCCGGCUCAACUGGGGAACUGCGCGGGAAACUGUCGGACUUGAGUUCGGGAGAGGGAAGCGGAAUUCCGGGUGUAGCGGUGAAAUGCGUAGAUAUCCGGAGGAACACCGGUGGCGAAGGCGGCUUCCUGGACCGACACUGACGCUGAGGCGCGAAAGCUAGGGGAGCAAACGGGAUUAGAUACCCCGGUAGUCC